UGUAGAACUGAGGCAGCUGAGGAGGAUCUGCUUCCUGCUGAGAGGACAAAUGGAGAGAGUUUUCUGCCCUGAGAUGCAUCAUCCCUGUCUGACCAGUCAUAGCUUAGUCCAUCAUAAUCCAUCAAUCCUCUCUGCAUCUCUGGAAAAAACAUUGCCCAGAUCCUUUCAGAGGUUAUUGGGAAUAUGCAGUUUCUCCAUUUACCUGAUUUGCAGGGUAAGUUGGCAUGAAGCCACUGGAAGCCUGGGCUGUAGCUCCCCCUACUGGCCCAACAAGGUUAAUGCCCAUGACUGGUUGCCCAAGGUUGAGGGGCAUAGAGCCUGCAGGACCUGAAGGCAUCCCCGUUGGCUGACUCACUGCAGUAGGCAAAGUCAUAGGAAAGCCACUUAAAGUUGGAACAGGAGCCGCUGGAAACUGGUUUAAAGCAUCAGGACUCAUGGCGGGAACACCCCUCUAUAUAGGAAGAAAAUGAAAACAUUUUAGCAGAUUAUAAACCACAUACAACCUAAAUCUGGCAAAGACAGACCAAAAUGUAAAAUCUGUAGCAUUGGUAUGAUUCCACUCCUAACUCUCCCAAAACUCAUGAAUUUUAUACAAGAAAAUAAAUUAUAAGGUUAAUGCAAAUCUAAUAUUUAGCAAAGAAAUGGCCAACAUGUAUCAAUUCUGACAUUUUCACUCUCUGACAAGUUUGGUUAAUUUACUAUAAUCAAAUCAGGAUUAGAUAUGUUAUAAAUGGCUUUGUAAUAUAAGAGAAAUUACUAUCAGAUGGAAACUACUUUAUAUCUGAGGAAUUUUAAACAAGCACUUCAAAGGACAGAGAGAAACUUCAUCUAUUAUUGAAUAACUUUCAAGUUCAAAGAGAGAUAGGUCAGAAGAUGUUAAUAUAUUAAAUAGUUUUUAAACAAAGGAAUAUUUUCUAGUAUGUGCUUCAUAUAAACUAUACAUUUUUUGAAGUACUAUCUUGAAAAUAAUUUAAACUUUAAUGUACAAAGAAUGCUACGAGGUUGUAAUCACAAAGGAUUCAUAUUCUUCCAAUUUAUAUUGAAAAAUUAUUUGAUCUAACUUAAACAAUGUCUACCUGUGUUACUGCUAUCAUGGCGAGAACAGUAUAAAGUUCUUCUUUAGUAAGUUUGCCAGGUGUAGUUCGAUUAGCUAAGGCCCAUAUCUGUCCAAGAGUUUCCCUGGGAAGUCCAGAUGACAUCAAAAUGGGAUAAAGUUUUGCAGUAUCUAUUCCAGUUGGAGUCAUGGUGGUUUCUAAGAUUUUCUUAUAGACAUCUAUUAAAGGAAAGACCAGAUUACAAAAAUAAAUAUAUUACCACUAAUUGAUCUUUUUUGUUGUCAAUGUUGCUUAUAGGAGAAUCAUCUUAAGUCAAACUGCUUUAAUAGAACUAAAGCCAUGCCAGGGUUUGAACCGCUGUAAAGAUAUUCAAGUGGAAAUAUCCAGCAGAUAAUUAAGGUCUGGUGCUUAGAAGAGAGGUUGGAGCUUGGUCCUAAAGAUGAAGAUUUGGGACUAAGGGGAGAGUGGAAGAGAGAGGGAAAGACAUAGAGAAACACAUUGAUUGAUUGGCUCUUGCAGGAGCCCUGGCCAGGGCCGGGGAGAAGCCUGCAACCAAGGUACGUACCCUUGACCGGAAUCGAACCCAGGACCCUUUGGUCCACAGGCCUACGCUUGCUCAUUCAUGGAGUCAAACUGGCUAGGGCAGGAGGACAAUCUUUUGCAUUCAAAAGCAAUUAAAAAACAAACAAACAAGGAGAUAGACAAAAUAAAAACAGUUUUCGUUUGGCAUAUAAAGAAGAAACUUCCACUUGGGAAGGCAUGUCAUAUGGGAGAAAAAGCAAUUGUCUGGGAAUCAGUUCUACAUUUGGGUCCAGGUUCUGCUAGUAACUGUGUAGCCUUGACUCACAAGUGGCUUCAUCUCUCUGGUCCUCACUUUUCCUAGCUGUAAAAUAAGAGGCUUGAAUUAGAGCAGUGGUUCUCAACCUUGGCUGCACAUUAGAAUCACCUGGGAAUCUUUGUAAAAUCCUGAUUUCUGGGCCUCAUCCUCCGGAAAUUCUGUUUCUUUGUUACUAAUGUUGUGGCCUCACCCCAUAACAAAGAGAAUCAUUAAGGUCCCUUCUGGCUUUAAACUUAAAAUAGAAGUAUUUUAAAGAGUUUUAAAGGCAACAUGACUGUUUUGGUUCCAAAUCUGCAUUAGAGAACAUUUGAAAAGCUUAGAAUAACUGCUAUCAUGUAUUUUUUAUCCUUGAAUCCUGAGGUCCCUUACU